AGGAGAUUUGCUGAUGAAAUCCC
rnacentral:snRNA from 1 species